AAAAGAAAAAGCAGAAUGGAAUCUCUGUUUAUUCUCAACGUAUCAGUUGUGCCUCUCUUCAAUUUGAAACUCUCACUAUUGGCUAUAUUUGGGGGUGCCCUAUUUCCCAUCUCAUAACUUAUUUCAAGAAUCACAGCAUAAUAAUGUGUGAGCUUGGGAUUCAGUUUUUGAAACAAAACACUGAGCCUUCAAUGACCUUCCUGUACAUGUAAAAGCACACCUGUCUGCCUGGCAGCAGUUGGACCUCCCAAUGUGGAUUGUGACUUCACCCUGGAAUGUUUAUGCCCUAUCGCCAUGGUGAUGGGAUUAGGGAUCUCCUGCUGUUGGUCCUAAGUGCCACUGUCUGUGCUGA
rnacentral:lncRNA from 1 species